UGGGGAAUUUUGGACAAUGGGCGAAAGCCUGAUCCAGCAAUGCCGCGUGUGUGAAGAAGGCCUUCGGGUUGUAAAGCACUUUUGUCCGGAAAGAAAUCCUUGGCUCUAAUACAGUCGGGGGAUGACGGUACCGGAAGAAUAAGCACCGGCUAACUACGUGCCAGCAGCCGCGGUAAUACGUAGGGUGCAAGCGUUAAUCGGAAUUACUGGGCGUAAAGCGUGCGCAGGCGGUUUGCUAAGACCGAUGUGAAAUCCCCGGGCUCAACCUGGGAACUGCAUUGGUGACUGGCAGGCUAGAGUAUGGCAGAGGGGGGUUAGAAUUCCACGUGUAGCAGUGAAAUGCGUAGAGAUGUGGAGGAAUACCGAUGGCGAAGGCAGCCCCCUGGGCCAAUACUGACGCUCAUGCACGAAAGCGUGGGGAGCAAACAGGAUUAGAUACCCUGGUAGUCCACGCCCUAAACGAUGUCAACUAGUUGUUGGGGAUUCAUUUCCUUAGUAACGUAGCUAACGCGUGAAGUUGACCGCCUGGGGAGUACGGUCGCAAGAUUAAAACUUAAAUGAAUUGACGGGGUCAUAGCUGUUU
rnacentral:rRNA from 1 species